CGGGGAUGCCCGCAGACGCGGCUGUGCUGCGUUGACGUAGUUGCUGCACAGCGGAGCCGUGUUAUCGCAGGGGAGAGUUAUCCCAAACACUGCCACUGUGCAUCAACGCUGUAGUCAGGCUGUGCUGUGUUAUGUCAAAGCGCUGUCCGGGUGUGGAAACAAGGAACAAGGGGUAAAGCAGAAACCACGCGAGUCACGGUCCACACGGACUGACUCACACACGUUCUGAGGUCUCYGUUUUGCUACCUUGAGUUUGAAAAUAACGCCUACAAUCCUAUCGUCUCAUUUACUUUUCCAUUUUAGGUGAAGUGAUGCUCUUCCUGUGUCGCUAACAGUGUUCCUUUGAGUACCAACCAAUACGUAAUUGGCCACUGCCCCUGUAAAGAGCCAUUUAAAGCUAAGUAAUAUUGGCGUCAAUGAAGAAUUUAACCUGUUCCUUUGUUUCUCACUCUUCCCAGGAAUACUGUGGACAAGAUGGCCACAACCGGACCGUACAAAAUGGGUGACGGAAGCAGCUAUGCGACUAACUGCUUCCCUGCCAGGAACAUUUUGUGCACAAAUAGAGAAGGGGCUAGGCACUGGCUGCUAGCUCACGGAGCUACCCGGAGAUCCCGGAUCAGGCAGGCAAUCCCCGGGGAAAUGCCCCAGCGGAGAAGAAAGCCCCAAAGUUUGGCCUCUGCAGAAGAAGACARUAUCCUAGAUGAGCCAUUUCUGAUGAAGCAUCACUCUUUGAAGAAUCCUUCUGACCUGUGCUCUGUGAAUAUAAG
rnacentral:lncRNA from 1 species